UACGUAGGGAGCAAGCGUUGUCCGGAAUUACUGGGUGUAAAGGGAGUGUAGGCGGGACGGCAAGUCAGAUGUGAAAUCUAUGGGCUCAACCCAUAGCGUGCAUUUGAAACUGUUGUUCUUGAGUGAAGUAGAGGUAGACGGAAUUCCUAGUGUAGCGGUGAAAUGCGUAGAUAUUAGGAGGAACAUCAGUGGCGAAGGCGGUCUACUGGGCUUUUACUGACGCUGAGGCUCGAAAGCGUGGGGAGCAAACAGGAUUAGAUACCCUGGUAGUCCACGCCGUAAACGAUGAUUACUAGGUGUGGGGGGAUUAACCCUUCCGUGCCGGAGUUAACACAAUAAGUAAUCCACCUGGGGAGUACGACCGCAAGGUUGAAACUCAAAGGAAUUGACGGGGGCCCGCACAAGCAGUGGAGUAUGUGGUUUAAUUCGAAGCAACGCGAAGAACCUUACCAGGUCUUGACAUCGAGUGACGAGCUAAGAGAUUAGCUUUUCCUUCGGGACACGAAGACAGGUGGUGCAUGGUU
rnacentral:rRNA from 1 species